rnacentral:rRNA from 1 species
GAUUAACGCUGGCGGCGUGCCUAACACAUGCAAGUCGAGCGGCAGCGAGUUUUACACUGAAUUCUGGAAGCUUCUAGUUGAAAGAGAAGAUUUAUUCAAGAAUUUUGUGUAAAAUGUCGGCGAGCGGCGGACGGCUGAGUAACGCGUGGGAACGUACCCCAAAGUGAGGGAUAACGCAUCGAAAGGUGUGCUAAUACCGCAUAUGGUCUUCGGAUUAAAGCCUUCGGGCGCUUUGGGAACGGCCUGCGUAAGAUUAGAUAGUUGGUGGGGUAAUGGCCUACCAAGUCGACGAUCUUUAACUGGUUUGAGAGGAUGAUCAGUCAGACUGGAACUGAGACACGGUCCAGACUCCUACGGGAGGCAGCAGUGAGGAAUCUUCCACAAUGGGCGAAAGCCUGAUGGAGCAACGCCGCGUGCAGGAUGAAGGCCUUCGGGUUGUAAACUGCUUUUAUAAGUGAGGAUUAUGACAGUAACUGAUGAAUAAGGAUCGGCUAACUACGUG